AUCUGUCUAGGCUAUUAYUGCCUAGGCGGAAUGCGGGUUUCCUGUGUUGCCUACCUUAGUGACGGUAUUGUCUCGGUCGAUCAGUGUCCCUUAUCGUCUUGUGUUAUACCCAUGACACUAGAUGAUCCUCAAAGCCGUCUCUUUGAACCACAACAUUGCUUGUCGAUGUUGUGGAACAUUGAGCAUUGCUCGGUCUCUUGAAUACGGAAYGUGAUGUGGGCAURRGGUCUUUUGAGAUCCUUGUUCUGCCCUCACCAAGCGUUGUCGCUUCCUUUGAAAAUGACUUCCUGACGCGCAUUGGCUCGUACCAGCGUGCCGGGUCAAGUCAAAGAGGAUUGC
rnacentral:misc_RNA from 1 species